rnacentral:rRNA from 1 species
UAAAUGAAGAGUUUGAUCAUGGCUCAGAUUGAACGCUGGCGGCAGGCUUAACACAUGCAAGUCGGCCGUAACGGGUUGAAAGCUUGCUUUCAAUGCUGACGAGGGCGGACGGGUGAGUAAGGCUUGGGGAUCUGGCUUUUGGAGGGGGAUAACCAUUGGAAACGAUGGCUAAUACCGCAUAGUAUCGAGAGAUGAAAGGUGGAGACCACUGCCAAGGGAUGAACCCAAGUGAGAUUAGGUAGUUGGUGGGUAGGCCUACUAAGCCGACGAUCUCUAGCUGGUCUGAGGAUGGCCAGCCACACUGGGACUGAGACACGGCCCAGACUCCCACGGAGGCAGCAGUGGGGAAUAUUGCGCAAUGGGGAACCCUGGACGCAGCCAUGCGCCGCGUGAAUGAAGAAGGCCUUCGGGUUGUAAAGUUCUUCGGUGGUGAGGAAGGCGGUAGUGUUAAUAGCGCUAUUGUUUGACGUUAGCCACAGAAGAAGCACCGGCUAACUCCAGCCAGCAGCCGCGGUAAUACGGAGGGUGCGAGCGUUAACGGAAUAACUGGGCGUAAAGCGCACGCAGGCGUGACGUUAAGUGAGAUGAAAGCCCUGGCUUAACCUGGGAACAGCAUUUCAUACUGGCGUACUAGAGUACUUUAGGGGAGGGGUAGAAUUCCACGUGCAGUAUGGUGAAUGCGUAGAGAUGUGGAGGAAUACCGAAGAAGGCAGCCCCUGGGAAGAUACUGACGCUCAUGCGAAAGCGUGAGCAAACAGGAUUAGAUACUCCUGGUAGUCCACGCUGUAAACGCUGUCGAUUUGGGGGUUGUACGAAAGGUAUGGCUCGAAGCAAACGUGAUAAAUCGACCGCCUGGGGAGUACGGCCGCAAGGUUAAAACUCAAAUGAAUUGACGGGGCCCGCACAAGCGGUGGAGCGCAUGUGGUUUAAUUCGAUGCAACGCGAAGAACCUUACCUACUCUUGACAUCCUGAGGAGAAGUUGAGGAGAUAGCUUUGUGCUUUCGAGAACUUAGAGACAGGUGCUGCAUGGCUGUCGUCAGCUCGUGUUGUGAAAUGUUGGGUUAAGUCCCGCAACGAGCGCAACCCUUAUUCUUUGUUACCAGCGGGUGAGGCCGGGGACUUUAAAGGAGACUGCCAGUGACAAGCUGGAGGAAGGUGACACGUCAUCAUCAUGGCCCUUACGAGUAGGGCCACACGUGCUACAAUGGUGCAUACAGAGGGAGGCGAAGUAGCGAUACGGAGCGAAACUCAGAAAGUGAUCGUAGUCCGGAUUGAGUCUGCAACUCGACUCCAUGAAGUCGGAAUCGCUAGUAAUCGCGAAUCAGAAUGUCGCGGUGAAUACGUUCCCGGGCCUUGUACACACCGCCCGUCACACCAUGGGAGUGGGUUGUACCAGAAGUAGAUAGCUUAACCUUUUUGGAGGGCGUUUACCACGGUAUGAUCCAUGACUGGGGUAGUCGUAACAAGGUAACCGUAGGGGAACCUGCUGGAUCACCUCCUUA